rnacentral:tRNA from 1 species
GGUAGGGUAAUCAAUAAUGGGUAGGGAGUUGGACUUGUAAUCAAAUGGUUGCAGGUUCAAUUCCUGUCUGGGCCA